AUAUUCAUAUGGUUCCUUAGAUCGUUUCUUCCUACUUGGAUAACUGUGGCAAUUCUAGAGCUAAUACAUGCAGUGAGCCUGAAGCCCUUUGGGCGACGGGUGCUUUUAUUAGACCAAGAUCGAUCGGGUUUCGGCCCGUAUUGUGUGGUGACUCUGGAUAACUUUGUGCUGAUCGCAUGGCCACGAGCCGGCGACGUUUCUUUCAAGUGUCUGCCUUAUCAACUUUCGAUGGUAGGUUACUUGCUUACCAUGGUUGUUACGGGUAACGGAGAAUCAGGGUUCGAUUCCGGAGAGGGAGCCUGAGAAACGGCUACCACAUCCAAGGAAGGCAGCAGGCGCGCAAAUUACCCACUCCCGGCACGGGGAGGUAGUGACGAAAAAUAACAAUACGGGACUCUUUUGAGGCCCCGUAAUUGAAAUGAGUACACUCUAAAUCCUUUAACGAGGAUCAAUUGGAGGGCAAGUCUGGUGCCAGCAGCCGCGGUAAUUCCAGCUCCAAUAGCGUAUACUAAAGCUGCUGCGGUUAAAAAGCUCGUAGUUGGAUCUCAGUUCCAGACGAGUAGUGCAUCUACCCGAUGCGACGGCUCGGACUGAACAUCAUGCCGGUCCUUUCUUGGUGCACUUCAUUGUGUGCCUCGAGAAGGCCGGUGCUUUUACUUUGAAAAAAUUAGAGUGCUCAACGCAGGCGAGUCGCCUGAAUAAACUUGCAUGGAAUAAUAGAACAAGACCUCGUUUCUGUUCUGUUGGUUUUUGGAAUACGAGGUAAUGAUUAAGAGGGACAGACGGGGGCAUUCGU
rnacentral:rRNA from 1 species